rnacentral:lncRNA from 1 species
AUUGAUGCCUAAUAGAGCUGUACAAUAUUUCACACUUUCUUACUAUAAUACCGUAUGGUUUAAAGUGUAUCAAUUUACUACUAUGUGUUUAUUUUUUUUCAUUCCACAAAUUUAUUUUCGUUAAAUCAGCGACAAAAUUAAAACUAAAGUAUACUAAAGAGAAUAUUCGAUAAACCUAAGUAUGAACAGUGGCCAAAGGAAUUAUGCCGAAAUUAGGAGUGUUGAUGCCACUGUAAUUUUGGAACAUUGUAAUUUUGUUAUAUCGACUGUUAAAAAAUUGGAUUGGUUAAUGCGAUAAAAUUUUACACUUGCCAUAGGGAAAAAAAAAUAUAGAAAAGGUGCUUGAAAAACAAAAUGGUGGGGCAAAUGUGAAACCAUAAAGGUGGUAUUUGAAGUUUUUUAAAUCAUGCGAAAUUUUAAUUU